rnacentral:RNase_P_RNA from 1 species
UCAGAUGGCUGGAUGGCCGCCUUGACCGUGGCGACACGGCCGGGGAGGAAAGUCCGGGCUCCACGGGAACACGGUGCCGGAUAACGUCCGGCGGGGGCGACCCUAGGGAAAGUGCCACAGAAAGCAAACCGCCCGUUCGCGCGCCCCUUGGGCGUGGCCGGCGGGCAAGGGUGAAAGGGUGCGGCAAGAGCGCACCGCUCCCCCGGCGACGGGGGAGGCACGGUAAACCCCACCGGGAGCAAGACGGAGUAGGAGCGGCCGGCCCAGCUCUUCGCGGAGUGGGGGCAGGCGGGUUUCCGCGCCGCCGCUCGGGUAUGUCGCGCGAGGCGUCCGGCGACGGGCGUCCCAGAUGAAUGGCCAUCCAUCGCGUUUCGGAGCGAUCCGGGGCGCGGGGACAGAACCCGGCUUACAGGCCAUCUGACGCC